ACGCUGGCGGCACGCCUAACACAUGCAAGUCGAACGCAGUAGCAAUACUGAGUGGCGAACGGGUGAGUAUAAUGUGGGUAUCUGCCUUUUGGUUCGGAAUAACAUGAGGAAACUUAUGCUAAUACCGGAUAAGCCCUUACGGGGAAAGUUUUAACGCCAGAAGAUGAGCCCGCACUUGAUUAGCUAGUUGGUAAGGUAAUGGCUUACCAAGGCUACGAUCAAUAGCUGAUCUGAGAGGAUGAUCAGCCACAUUGGGACUGAGACACGGCCCAGACUCCUACGGGAGGCAGCAGUGGGGAAUCUUGCACAAUGGGGGAAACCCUGAUGCAGCGAUGCCGCGUGAGUGAAGAAGGCCUUUGGGUUGUAAAGCUCUUUCGUCGGGGAAGAAAAUGACUGUACCCGAAUAAGAAGGUCCGGCCAACUUCGUGCCAGCAGCCGCGGUAAUACGAAGGGACCUAGCGUAGUUCGGAAUUACUGGGCUUAAAGAGCACGUAGGUGGUUAGAAAAGUUGAUGGUGAAAUCCCAAGGCUUAACCUUGGAACUGCCAUCAAAACUUUUUAACUAGAGUAUGAUAGAGGUAAGCGGAAUUUCUAGUGUAGAGGUGAAAUUCGUAGAUAUUAGAAAGAACACCAAUUGCGAAGGCAGCUUUCUGGAUCAUUACUGACACUGAGGUGCGAAAGCAUGGGUAGCGAAGAGGAUUAGAUACCCUCGUAGUCCAUGCCGUAAACGAUGUGUGCUAGACGUUGGAAAUUUUAUUUUCAGUGUCGCAGCAAAAGCGUUAAGCACACCGCCUGGGGAGUACGACCGCAAAGGUUAAAACUUAAAUGGAGAUGCGG
rnacentral:rRNA from 1 species